UACGUAGGGGGCUAGCGUUGUCCGGAAUCAUUGGGCGUAAAGCGCGUGUAGGCGGUUCGGUAAGUCCGCUGUGAAAGUCGGGGGCUCAACCCUCGAAUGCCGGUGGAUACUGUCGGGCUAGAGUACGGAAGAGGCGAGUGGAAUUCCUGGUGUAGCGGUGAAAUGCGUAGAUAUCAGGAGGAACACCGGUGGCGAAGGCGGCUCUCUGGACCACAACUGACGCUGAGGCGCGAAAGCUAGGGGAGCAAACAGG
rnacentral:rRNA from 1 species